rnacentral:piRNA from 1 species
UUUUUAGUGGCAGCAAGGUCAAAGUCUGGA